rnacentral:rRNA from 1 species
UUUAAAUGAAGACUAGAACAAAAGAUUAAACGUUUCAAUUUAUAUCCUAUUUAAUUCCCUUUAAAUUAUCCUAAAUGUAAAAAGACAUUUAUUUAAAAGAAAGACGACAAGACCCUAUUGAACUUAACUUAAGUUUAACUGGGGUAGUUAAUUAAUUAUUAUUUUAAUUAAUAAAAUUAUACAAAUAAUCCAAUAAUAUUGAAAUAAUCAAGUUACCAUAGGGAUAACAGCGUAAUAAUUUUCUUAAGUUCUUAUAACAACAAUAGUUUACGACCUCGAUGUUGAAUUAAUAACCUAUUUAGAGCAAAAACUAACCAAGGAAGUCUGUUCGACUUUUAAAUAAUUACAUGAUUUGAGUUCAGACCGGUAUAAGCCAGGUCGGUUUCUAUCUUCUUAUUACUUCUUACAGUACGAAAGGGCCUAAGAAAAUAAUUUAAUUAUUUAAUUGGCAGAAAAAUGCAUUAGAAUUAGAAUCUAAAUAAACUAACAUCUUAUUUACCCUUUCAUAUUUGAUUAUUUCUAUUAGC